AAAGGUCACAACUUUUAACAGCAAAGGGGAAACAUUCUCCAAGUUUCUUUUUCCAUGGCCUAUCAUGGAAAUACCAAGAUACGGAAGACAAAAUUUAACCAGAACUGGGAAAGCAAGAUAGCUCCACAGCUGAAAGAUUAGACAUCUCUCUGGGGGACCAGCUCUGUUCCACAGCCUGCUGGAAGGAGGAGAGGUCUCCAGGGGACAAGGGACAGGACUUCAGCCCCACAGGAGCGCUCCACUCCGAGGAUGCACUCUCUAGGCAGGUUUGUGGACCUUUGUCAACAAGAUGAGUAAUAUAAGUCCUGCUAGUCAGAAAAGCUUUUCUUCAGAAAACAAAAGGAAGCAUUGGAGAGGCUAACUCUCUUGUGGGUUUUUCAUAGGAUGCCUUUUCGAAAUUGUAAGACUAGAGGACACAGUCCAUCCUAGGAUAGCCACAGAAGGAGUUCCUAGCAAAACCUCACUACCGUUGAGCACUUUGACUUUAAUGAAUGUAUGUACACUCUGAGCUCUAUUUCCAGGAAGAAGACGGGGUGACUCCUCAUUGCCACCGAAGGCAAACAAAAAAUAGCUUCUUACUUCAUCCGCCCUGGACUACCUUCCCAGCCCACUCCUUUGCCCUGGGCCUACAAGGCAGCCACCUAGGCCUGGGCGCUGCGUGUGUUUGAUCCCCUUUGAGCCUUGAUAAUUAUUUGAAAGGUUUGUGUCAAAUCCCAGCCUGAUGUGAUGAAAUAACUCGUUCCCAUUUGGAGAAUAAAACUAUUCCUGGUAGCUUU
rnacentral:lncRNA from 1 species